GUAGGUGGCAAGCGUUGUCCGGGAAUUAUUGGGGCGUUAAAGCGCGCGCAGGCGGUUCUUUAAGUCUGAUGUGAAAGCCCACGGGCUCAACCGUGGAGGGUCAUUGGAAACUGGAGAACUUGAGUACAGAAGAGGAAAGCGGAAUUCCACGUGUAGCGGUGAAAUGCGUAGAGAUGUGGAGGAACACCAGUGGCGAAGGCGGCUUUCUGGUCUGUAACUGACGCUGAGGCGCGAAAGCGUGGGGAGCAAACAGGAUUAGAUACCCUGGUAGUCCACGCCGUAAACGAUGAGUGCUAAGUGUUAGGGGGUUUCCGCCCCUUAGUGCUGCAGCUAACGCAUUAAGCACUCCGCCUGGGGAGUACGGCCGCAAAGGCUGA
rnacentral:rRNA from 1 species